rnacentral:lncRNA from 1 species
UCCAUGCUGGGCCAGGCAUGAAUGCACCAGAUACUUGAUAAUGACAUCAUUGACUGUUCAAGUCAUAAUGACUGAACAAAUCCCAGGGUGGGGUUGCCUGGUCCUGAAUGGCCCUGGCCUGUAAGGGUCAGCACUGAACCAGCUUGUCAAGAUGAGCACUGAGUUAAAAAUCCUCUCUGCCGCUUCUGUGGGCUCGCAAGUGGAUCUGACUGUGACAGGCUGAAGAACAGCAGUCCCUGGCCACCUCCCCCAAUUAGCCCCCAGUCUCAACAACAGCCUGAGCAGACUUAGUGGGCAGGGAGGAGGCUGCUCCAGGGACAGAGCCCUACCUCAAGAGGAACUCCAGUGGAUUCCUGGGGACCAAGGAGGGUCCCCUACAGGUACAAGGACCACAGAGUAACAAGAUGAGAAAACACACCUCCAAGCCUCUUCUUCCUCUUCCCUUCGGGAGUUCAGACCUCUGAAGCUCUCUAGGAGACUUGCUGCCCUAAGGGCCGAGGUCAGGGACUUAGGGCUUCCUCAGGAUUGGUUCCUCUCUGGAGCCAUGAGAGCCAACCCCCUAACCCUGGAGGCCAGCAGCGUUGACCCCGGCUAUGUGCUGUCGAGCCCCCACCCUCCAGCUGAAAGGCCACAGGACUCCUCUCCAAGCAGAUAAAGAAACUAAAGAAACUGAGGUUCUGAGUGGCAGGGAGCUGGGACGACUGCUGGCAUUUCUGACAGUCUUGAGGCCUGCGUGCCUAUCCCCAUUGCAGGUGGGAGGGCAGAGGCUCAGAGGUGUGAGGGGGAGGCCUGGCUAGGAAAUGAAACCAAAUUUCUCUGCUGGAUGCUGGUUCCCUUUUUGAAAAACCCCCAGGGCUGCUGUGCAGGACACCGAGUGGAGAAGAAGUCACAAAGAGCGGCCCUUCUCAGAAAUCGAGUGGAGCCAGAAGCCUCAAGGUUCAGUCUCCUGAGCAAGGCCCGCAGGACGGCAAGGCUCGACCACAUCCCAGCAUGUGGUUCCAGGCCUCAGAUCUGUCCACGUCAGCCCACCACUGCCUUCAAAGUCAAGUCAGACAUGAGGGCUGCCACCUCGCCUGGCCUCUGCCAGCCUUCCCAGCAGCAAGCAUAAGACAGAGUCUGCCCUGGCCUUCAGGGAGCUUCUGGCUCACUUAGUGAGGGAACAGAUUGUGCAAAGUAAUGACACAUGUAUAUUUACACAUUAUGGUAAGUGUUUUAAAGGAAAAAUACAUAAUGGCAAGUGAGCAAACAACAGGGGUCAGAAAAGGCCUCUCAGGAAAUAGUGACACUUAGGCCCAGACAAACAAGGAGCAAGGUGACUUCAGGCAGAGAGAAAUGAGGGAAGCAAAAGCAGGCCACGUGUGAGAGGAGGAUGGGGAUGUGGGGAGCUGGAGACCACAUGGCCAGCAGCGUAUGGCACUGAGAAUCAACUGUCACUGCCACUGGAACCACUGAGCAUGCAGUGAGCAAGUAGGGAGCAGUGAGACCCCGCAGGUGACCUGCACAGGCCACACUGGCUACUGGAGAAGGGACUGGAGUUGAGGAGGGUCCAUGUGGGAGGCCUUGUUGGGAGAGGCCACUGCAGCAGAUGGGGCUGCAGGUGCUGGCAUAGCAUAGAGACAGCAGAAAGAUUCAAGUGCACUUUGGAAAUAGAACUGGCAGGAUGUGGGGAUGGCAAAUUGGAGGAAAAGGAUGAAAUUGAGAAUUCAGUUUUAGCCCGAUUAGCUUUGGCCAAUUUCUAGCCCAGGAGACAUCCAAUGGAGGUGUCCAGGGGUCAGAGGCCUGAGCCAGGAAAGUGACUAAAGAUUCUGAUGAGUUUGCCAGCCAGAGGGCCGAGCAAGCAAGCAAGAAGCAUCAGAAUGUGCAGGCCCCUAGGGACAGGAGCAGAGACGGAAUGGCAGAGCAGGAGGCAGCCACUGUGCUGGCCUGAGGACUGUGGCUCCCCGAAUGCUGCAGCAGAACAGCAGAACCGGUCCUAUCACCCAGUCAGUAACAGCCAUGCCUCCUGACCUCUCCCUCCAAGACAGAGCAGGGCACUCUGUCCCCUCAUCUUGCACCAGACCAGCAACAGCAUUCCUGCCCAGGUCCACUGGCCUCUGUACUCUGGCUGCUGGGCACCCCAGUGAGCCCAAGCCUGGCAGAGCCUAUACUCUGUCCACCAGCAAAGGGGCACAGGGUCUGCAGGAACCCAUGCCCAGAGCUCAUCUAUUACAAUGCAGUGAUAAACACAGUGGACUGCCACUGGGAUCUGCUGGGUGUUGGGUAACCCAACAAUAGGCUGGGGCCAGCCAGCAGGUGAGCUCAAUGGUUUCCUGUCUCUGCCCACACUCUGCUCUUGCUACUGUUCACAAGUACAGAUUCUGUGCUAGUGUGGUGCCAGGCCACAUAGGUGACAAAGUGAUCCCCAGCGGCAGACCCAGGCUCACCGCACCAAAGGGAAUGAAAUGAACUGGGCCCGAGGGCUGGGGCUCAGAGAUGGAUUCGGGCACAGGCCACCUGCCCAGGCUCGACUGCCCUCAGGCCCAUUUGAUGGCAUCUUGAGAGGAAGUGGUGUGGUGCGGAA